CGUAGGGUGCGAGCGUUGUCCGGAAUUAUUGGGCGUAAAGAGCUUGUAGGCGGUUAGUCGCGUCGGAAGUGAAAACUCGGGCCUUAAUCCCGAGCUUGCUUCCGAUACGGGCUGACUAGAGGAAGGUAGGGGAGAAUGGAAUUCCUGGUGGAGCGGUGGAAUGCGCAGAUAUCAGGAGGAACACCAGUGGCGAAGGCGGUUCUCUGGACCUUUCCUGACGCUGAGAAGCGAAAGCGUGGGGAGCAAACAGGCUUAGAUACCCUGGUAGUCCCU
rnacentral:rRNA from 1 species